rnacentral:lncRNA from 1 species
CUGAGAAUUUCACGGGACAGAACUGGGCCAAAAGGAAGAAGACUGUUUGCGGCAGGAGGGUAGCAGAGGAGCAAGUGGUAAACAGAAGACAGAUAGAAGGCAGUAUUCUUCAGACCCCCAUACAUCACUGAAUGACAGCCCUGAUGAGGAAACUCAGGUCAAUUGUGGAAGAACAUAAAAUGCAAAACAUGAACUUGCAGAAAACAAGAGCCAAUCCCAUUUCUCUUCUGCAGCUGCACUGGAAAUGUGCGUCAGCUCAGUGUGUCACAGCAGAGAUACACGUGGACGGGGAAGCACAGCAGCUUGCAGGAAAGGCCUGGCUGGCAGAGAGCACCCAAAGAUGAACACAAUGAACAGUGAGGGUCUCACGCGAGGUGGCUGGGGCUGAGUGGC